AGGACGAACGCUGGCGGCGUGCUUAACACAUGCAAGUCAAGGGGGCCCAGCAAUGGGCAACCGGCGAACGGGUGCGUAACACGUGAGCAACCUACCGAAAUGUGGGGGAUAGCCGGCCUAACGGCCGAGUAAUACCGCAUACGCUCUCGAUGAGGCAUUUCAUUGAGAGGAAACCUACGGGACAUUUCGAGGGGCUCGCGGCCUAUCAGCUAGUUAGAGAGGUAACGGCUCACCAAGGCAACGACGGGU
rnacentral:rRNA from 1 species